GCAUCCAGUCUCCCCGCAGGGCACCCCGACUUUCAAGGCCGAGGCUGAAUGUCCGACCCAGGGAGAAUGGCAGCAGCUGGCCGUGGAUCCCCAGAACGGCUCGUGCAAAGAGAGCGCGGAGGACUAAGGGAGCACGACGGUGCCGGGCCUGGAGAACCAAGCUACCUGAAACCUAACCUGAUCCCAAAGCAGUAGGAGGACUACAAGGGGGCACCAAGCCUGUCCAGGCCUGGGUACAAGGCGCGCCCCCCCUCCCCCUGGGGAUGGACUUCGAAAGGGAAGAGAAACCACCUAAAGAUGCUGUUCUGCCACCGCCACAGCCCCAGGGUGCUCCAGGAGAGUCAGGGCACACAGCCACCUCUUGCGUCCCUUGUGCGCCCAAGGAGGAAGGGCUUUGGAGAAGUGGAGAGCCAGACGCACGGCCACUUCAUAAGUCCUCUGCAGAGCCAAGGAGGAGGGGCUUUGGAGAAGUGACAACCUUGAGGAGUUUGCCACCACUCCUGCCCUUGCUCAGGAUCAGCCGCGCCACUUUUGUGAAGUAGCCCCCACUGGAGAACAAGUUUGCUAUGGCGAGUGGAUUCCAGUUCAUCUCCUCUGUCUGCUACUUUGAGUCUGGAAAUGACUGGUGGGUGAGCAAGCACAUUAAGAAGCCGAUUCGCUCCACAGUCUUCAGCUUGGGCUGGCACCUCAACAACAUUUGGCUGGCUGCAGGGUCAUGUGACUUCAAAUGCAGCCAGGUGUCCAUUUACGAGGUGGACCAACAGGACUGUCGCAAAUUCUGUACCACUGGCAUCAACGGGGCCAUGAUGAUCUGGGAUUUCAAGGCAUCCCGGAAGCCAUCAUGGGUGUUAAUAUCCUGAUAGGAGCCACAGGCACCUGGAGGCCACCAUGGGUGUUGGUAUCCUGAUAGGAGCUAGAUGUCAAUAAAGAGCCAUAUGUCCCCUUUGUCGGAGCAAGGAAAAUGGCUGUUUUGCUGGACCAGAACUUUUGCACAGAUUCUUGAUGGAUGCUGUUUUUGAUCUAUCCCAGGAGAAUCCAUAUUGACCCACAUGGAUGCCUAUGAGGAGUUCACCUCCGAUGGAAUAUACUGAACCUUGCUAUGCCAAGGCCACAUGAAACUCAGAAAAGACAAAAGAAGAAAAAAAAAACUACAUCUCUCCUUGUUCAAUGAUGUUUUGGUUGUGCCUAAUAAACUGUGAGUAUGUCCCUCAUGCCUGCCAUACUAUUAGAGGCUACACUUUGAUUAGGCUGUACUAUACAGAAAUAAAAUAGUUUUUUAUUUA